CCUGUUCCCCAACGCAAUAUUGCACCACUAACCCGUAGCCCCCAUGGGAGGCGUGGUCCCCCAACUCAAACCGUUGCCGAACGUAAGAUUCCGGCACUCCCCUGCCUCCCUCAGCAGUGGACUU